AUUGAACGCUGGCGGCAUGCUUUACACAUGCAAGUCGAACGGUAACAGGGUGCUUGCACCGCUGACGAGUGGCGAACGGGUGAGUAAUGCGUCGGAACGUGCCGAGUAGUGGGGGAUAACGCAGCGAAAGUUGUGCUAAUACCGCAUACGUACUGAGGUAGAAAGUGGGGGACCUUCGGGCCUCACGCUAUUCGAGCGGCCGACGUCUGAUUAGCUAGUAGGUGAGGUAAAGGCUCACCUAGGCGACGAUCAGUAGCGGGUCUGAGAGGAUGGUCCGCCACAGUGGGACUGAGGCACGGCCCAGAGUCCUACGGGAGGCAGCAGUGGGGAAUAUUGGACAAUGGGCGAAAGCCUGAUCCAGCCAUGCCGCGUGUGUGAAGAAGGUCUUCGGAUUGUAAAGCACUUUAAGUUGGGAGGAAGGGUAUUCACCUAAUACGUGGGUACUUUGACGUUACCAACAGAAUAAGCACCGGCUAACUCUGUGCCAGCCGCCGCCGUAAAAC
rnacentral:rRNA from 1 species